rnacentral:tRNA from 1 species
GCCGUAAAACUGGUAUUUCACUGAUUCGUAAUCAGUAGGUCCGGGGUUCGAUUCCCCGAGUCGGCACCA